CGCGUUUCCCCUCUUUCCGCUCUCAUUGGCGCUCGAGUGCGCGCUUUCGCUGCCGACUGUUAAGUCUCGCUCUGCGUUUUGUGAAUCCUCGAAGCAAAACCUGCUCAGUGACGUGGUGACUUCAGCUGCAAGCACUUCCGGGAAGCCCAGCCUCAUCUGAGGCUCCUGCUGCAGCUCAGGUGAUAGAACCAACACUGAGCUAGGGGCGGAGGAACAGAAGAUGGGAGGAAAGAUUCAUCAUUAUCAUCAAUUCCUCUCACGAACAGAACAAAAACUUAAGAGGGCUGUACACAUUCAGAUCCUCUGCAUUUGGAAUCUGAAAUAAUGUGAGAAUGAAAAUUGGGAGCUUC